UGGAGGAGAGUUAGGAGAGUGAAGGGAGCAAGAACAUCACUUUUGAGAAGGUUGGAGGAGAAGAGACAAAGAGAGGUGGGGUUUCACUGGGAGAGGAUGCAAGGUCCAGGGAGCUACUCUUUGUAAAAUGGGAGGAACGUGACUAUGUGAUGGGAAGAAGCCAGGGAGAGGGAGCUGUGGGUCCCUGCACAGCUGGCUCUUCCCACCCCUGCCCUACCUGUGCUUAGCGUCUAUCCAAUCCCUCUUCCUUAAGUGUUUUCCCAACAUGUGAUUUAGUGGAGGGACUGAGCACUUUGUGGCAGAGGGUAGAAGAGGGCAGCUGAUGACAGAUCUAGGUGGGCACAUCCCAUUCUGCAAAACAGAGUCCUGCCAUGGACCCCAUCCACUUUCACUCAGAAGCAGUCUCAUAGUCAUCUGUGGAUACUCCUGUGGCUUCUCAGAGCACUCCUCAAAUCACAUGCUGUGGUCUCCCUCUGAGAUGCUCUAGUAUUUUGGUUUCUUUUCCCAGUCCCCUUUCUGGUGGUGCUUCGGGGCUCCCAUACACUGGCCCCUCAAUGCAGCCCUGACCCAUUCUGAGCCAUGGCCCUGCCUUCUACUUCCCAAACCUCAGCCUCCCUAUGUCACCCUGAAGGCUGGGCCCUCCUACUGUCUCUGAGCCCUCCCACUGCAUCAUAGCCUCCGGGUCUUUCACAUUAUCUGUCCCUACCCUCUGAUUUUAGAGUCCCGUCCUUUCUCAGAUAACCUGUCUCUGUGCUUCUCACAUGAUGGGACAGCCACACUCACACUUUUUUGCUUUGUUUCCCAAUUGGCAACAGUUUAACUGACAGUGACCCUUGGAUAUUGCAAUGUCACCACCAAAUUGGGCCUUCCCUGAUGGCUACCCCUCUUCAGUAAGGGGUAUCCAACUGCAUGGUGUGGCCCCUUCUGCUCUGUUCUGUUGGUUAUAGUUGUGGUCCUUCCAUUCCUGGAAACCUUAGAUCCUAGGUUCGUUGAUCAGAGCCUGAAGGUUCCUCUCCCAAGCCUUUCUCAGGGGAGUGGCCCCCCAGGAGGCUCCAGCGUAGUGACUCCUAGCUGCCUGGGCUGGACUCGGUCAGCUCAGUGGGCCAGCUGCAAGCCCCACCUCCUGGUCUGCACCAGGAAAAGUGAGCAAGCCAUGAAGGUCACUGCCCAGAACUUGUCACAGUCAAACGUGAAGUGUUUAACAAUUUCCAGCCUGAUCUUUGGAAUGCAGAAAGUGAUCGAGCUGUAGCUAGAAGCAAAUCAUAAAUGCUCCCAGGCCCAUCCAAGAAUUUCACUGGGGCCACGGGGCCACCGGGCUGCUUCCACAGCGGGUUCCCGUGAACUUGGGUCUUGGCCAGGGUAACGCAUUGACUUCUGGGUUGACCUCAGGCAAGACAGAAAGCUUCCAAGUGAGCCACUGCAGAGAGGGAAAAUCCCACACUUCCUCCCUCUGUAGUGGAAUACACUGCAGGCCUUGGAAGAUUAAUCACUUAACAGAGGGAAAGUGAUCUCAGUUAAUUCUGUUGGCAUCACCUCUUUCUUUGUGGCUUGAAUGUUACUCCACUGAAGAAAGUAGAAUAGAAUUAAAAUUUGGUUUUUAGUUCCAUAAUCAAGGGCUUCUAUCAGAUAGCCAUGGGUACUGUACUUCUUGUCCACUCUUGGUAAAAGAUUCAAACCCUCUGCACCCAGUGUGCCCAGACUUUCUUUCCUCUCCCCUCACCCAGACCCUUCCAAGGCAAUGCCUGCAGGGCCCGUUAGUACAGUGGUGACUUUCAAGGCCACUGGAGUCAGACUCUGAAUUUGAAUCC